rnacentral:rRNA from 1 species
UACGUAGGGUGCAAGCGUUGUCCGGAAUUAUUGGGCGUAAAGAGCGCGUAGGCGGUCUGUCGCGUCGGCUGUGAAAACCCGGAGCUCAACUCCGGGCCUGCAGUCGAUACGGGCAGACUGGAGUUCGGCAGGGGAGACUGGAAUUCCUGGUGUAGCGGUGAAAUGCGCAGAUAUCAGGAGGAACACCGGUGGCGAAGGCGGGUCUCUGGGCCGAUACUGACGCUGAGGAGCGAAAGCGUGGGGAGCGAACAGG